GUAACAAUAAGGAAGCGGUGCCAAUGAUGUCAUGUCCUGGUGACGAAGUAAUUCUUCAUUAAUCAUGUUGAAAGAUGGGCUGUUAGGGUUGAAGAUGUGAGAAGAAAUAAAGUGCAGCUGCCAGAAAGAGCUGAUGUAGCACAGUAUAUGCUGAUGACUUACAUUAAUACUUGGGUAUAGGUGCGUAAGUAGAUACUGUGUUUGAUUGGCCAUGAGCACUAACUGAUUAAAGACCACAUGUCUAAAUAAUUGACUAGAAACAUGGAGUUUUAGUAUCUUACAUGUCACUGACCAGCGUGUACUAAUGAGAUCAUUAAUGCUGAUUAUUUUUCCUGUCUUUCCUUCUGUGUGGCUGCAGGACUUGUAUGUGUUUGCAGUGUACUUCAUGCACAACCAGCUGUGUUGGCCAGCUAAAGCUAGUUACACAGUGGAGAUGAACGGCCAGGACUCUCCAGACUCUGCCUACCCUGGAGGGGGACCCACCACUGUGGGAGCCGAUAUCAACAAAUCCACUCAGAACCUCAUCAGUGCCAUGGAAGAGGUAUCAGCAGACUGGGAGCGAACAUCCUUGUGACUCAGCACAGCAGUGCGUUUAAACCCAGUCCUGUGUUAGGCACGUACAGCACGGAUCCUGGUUUUAUCAACACCAACCUGGUGACCACAGCCGAGGAGUCGCAGGAGUUUGAUGACCUCAUAUUUACCUUAAAGACUGGAAUGUGUCGACACAAAGUGGUGCUUUGGCCCAGAGGCAAUGUCUCUGUCAUUGGUGUGGAACCCCAGGGUUCACCUCCUGGGCAAAAUCGAAUCCCGAUUAGGGCGGUUAGUACCUUCCAGUGGACUCACCACCCGCAGGAAGGUUUAGGGGAGUGGGUACGGUUAAGCGGAUAAGCGGAUGAAAAUGGAUGGAUGGAUGGAUGGAUGGUGUCAACACAAAGAUGCUGAACUCCCUGCUCCGGCGUUGGGUGCGUGCACUCAUGUGCACAUCUCCAUUAUGUCACAGUGAUGAUCUGGCAGGUGAACGGGGGGCCUCAGCCCAAAUCACCCAUCCCUAUAAUGAGCUCAUGGGAACCUCUGGAUCAUAGCAGCUUCUGGGCAGCAGGAUUAUCUGGUGAGAGGAAACAGCUGAGGCCUGUCCAGAGUCAGCGCUUGCUAAUCAACGCUCCCACUGCACACACGUUUACCCUCACUUUUACGCUAACAUUUAUGUUCUUCGUUCAUAAUCACCCUCCCGCUCUUUUCUUUCAAGCGACAGGGGUCAGACUCCCACAAAGGCCCUGUGCCCACAAAAGUCAAAGGGGGCCACGGUGAGGGUAUGGGAGGAGGAAAAGGGGACAAAAGCAAACUGAAGUGCUUGGUCAAAGCUGACAGGACUGCUGAGUCAUCACUACUGUUGGUUCUCCAGUUAAAAUCCCAGAGAUGUUCGCGAUCCAGAAUCAACUUGUCCAUUUUAGUCCAAGGCUUUGUUCCUUUGAAGGUCCCUGCUGUCACUACAGGUCAAUGCAUCACACAAGACUCAGCGAAAGUCAGGCAACUGUUGACUGUGGUUAUGCAACAGCAGCAACUUUCAAACUCUGUACAGAUGUCAUGCAUUUCCUGCCUGACCUGUGAGGCACUGGGUACAACAUAUCCAUUCACAUCCGGCUUAAUUGAAUUAGUUGAGCUAUAUUUAUCCAUGUACUUCAGUUGUGUUGGCCCAAAUCAAUCAGUACUUCGUAAAGCAUGCUGACAUAGUGGGCAGCUCAAUACACUACAAUCAGCAUUGAUGAACUGCCUACAGAGGAGACUCUUGGCCAUUAAAAAUAGGUCAUAUUUAAUUUAACCAUAGGGAGAGAACCAUAAGUAAUAAAAAAUAUAUACUUCAGCUAAGAUCAUGGUAAGAUUUAGUCAGAAUUAGUUUAUGCAUCUUUAAUUUGUAAUAAAAUGUAUUAGGUAACAUAAAUGUACUGGUCUAAAUGCUUUAUGAUUACUUUAAAUCAAACAACUGUAAAAGUUACUCCUGACAUUUAAAUUAUUCCAUUAUUUUAUAUUUUGUAUCCAACUCAAAAUGCUUUCAAAAUGAAUUUGGCCCACAGAUGGUCUGAGACACUUCCAAAUAGAAAAAACACAGUUGUUUGCUGACACAUAUGGCAUUUUGGUUGUAUUAGCUGUAGCAGCGUAGCUCACAGCUGUCAAUCAUUGUCAAGAUCAAUUAGUCUCCUAGAAAUUCAACACAUGAGUAUUUUUGAAGUUACAGGUGAAAGAUUCUUGUUAUAUUUCUGUUAUAUAAGAGGGAUUGUGGAUAAAAUAUAUUCAUGUGUUCAUAGUUUAUAGAAGUAUGCAACAUAUAUAAUCAUGUUUUAAAAAGAUCAUAAGAGAUGUGCUAAAACAUAUA